rnacentral:rRNA from 1 species
AACGAGCGCUGGCGGCAUGCCUAACACAUGCAAGUCGAACGAGACCUUCGGGUCUAGUGGCGCACGGGUGCGUAACGCGUGGGAACCUGCCUUUAGGUUCGGAAUAACUCAGAGAAAUUUGAGCUAAUACCGGAUGAUGUCUUCGGACCAAAGAUUUAUCGCCUUUAGAUGGGCCCGCGUUGGAUUAGCUAGUUGGUGGGGUAAAGGCCUACCAAGGCGACGAUCCAUAGCUGGUCUGAGAGGAUGAUCAGCCACACUGGGACUGAGACACGGCCCAGACUCCUACGGGAGGCAGCAGUGGGGAAUAUUGGACAAUGGGCGAAAGCCUGAUCCAGCAAUGCCGCGUGAGUGAUGAAGGCCUUAGGGUUGUAAAGCUCUUUUACCCGAGAUGAUAAUGACAGUAUCGGGAGAAUAAGCUCCGGCUAACUCCGUG